GCCAUUUUGGCGGAGUUAGCGCGUAAAGUUUAGGACUUUAAGACGGGUUUUCCAAAUGGUA
rnacentral:tRNA from 1 species